GCAUCCUUGGUGUAGUGUUAACGCACUCUCUGCAUAUACUGUCGUUAUAAUGAGAUCUGGGGAGGUCUAGGGUUCAAAUGCCUGAGGGUGCA